rnacentral:tRNA from 2 species
GGGCCGGUGGUGUAGCCUGGUUAGCAUGUCGCCCUUACACGGCGAAGGUCCCAGGUUCAAAUCCUGGCCGGCCCA